AUCAAGAGUCAGGGCUGGACAUCAGUCUAUUUAUGUGAUGUGAAGGUUAAACUCUGUUAAAAGUUGGAGAACAGAGAAGACCCCAGUACAAACACCACACACCAUGUUCUCUACAUCUCUACUGCUCCUGCUGGCAGCUGCUUCCUAUGUGCAUGGUGUGGAACUGACUCAGCCUGCUUUCAUGACAGUCCAGCCAGGCCAGAGUCUCUCCAUCAACUGCAAGGUUUCAUAUUCUGUUACGAGCUAUGAGACAGCUUGGAUCCGACAACCUGCAGGAAAAGCUCUGGAGUGGAUUGGACACAUCAGUGGCGGUGGUAGCCUAUAUUACAGUGACAAACUGAAAAAUAAGUUCAGCAUCUCCAGAGACACAUCUACUAACACCAUAACAAUUAGAGGACAGAACAUGCAGACUGAAGACACAGCUGUGUAUUACUGCGCUCGCUACCCACAGUGAGACACGUCACCAACAUCCCUGUACAAAAACAUUCUGUACAGAAAUGAUCCAGUAUGGUGUGUGUUGUGUCGUGUUCUUUCAUGAACGUUGGACAACGUUGGAGUGAACAGUGCUCAUCAUGUUUUAAAACUUUGUUUGAUUAUUUUAUGUUACAGAAAAUCUAGAUAAAAUGUGUGUAGUAUAUCCAAACACAUACAGUAUCAGUUCUGUGCCAG